UACGGAGGGCGCAAGCGUUGUUCGGAAUCACUGGGCGUAAAGCGCGUGUAGGCGGCCGGGCAAGUCGGAUGUGAAAUCCCGAGGCUCAACCUCGGAACUGCACUCGAAACUGCUCGGCUCGAGUCCCGGAGAGGGUGGCGGAAUUCCCGGUGUAGGAGUGAAAUCCGUAGAUAUCGGGAGGAACACCAGUGGCGAAGGCGGCCACCUGGACGGUGACUGACGCUGAGACGCGAAAGCGUGGGGAGCAAACAGG
rnacentral:rRNA from 1 species